CGCUCUGGUGGCCUAGUGGUUAGAGCGUCCGCCUCGGAUGCGGAAGCUUGUGUGUUCGAUCCCCGGUUGAGUCA